rnacentral:rRNA from 1 species
CGGCCACAUUGGGACUGAGAUACGGCCCAGACUCCUACGGGAGGCAGCAGUGGGGAAUAUUGCACAAUGGGCGGAAGCCUGAUGCAGCAACGCCGCGUGCGGGAUGACGGCCUUCGGGUUGUAAACCGCUUUCGCCUGUGACGAAGCGUGAGUGACGGUAAUGGGUAAAGAAGCACCGGCUAACUACGUGCCAGCAGCCGCGGUGAUACGUAGGGUGCGAGCGUUGUCCGGAUUUAUUGGGCGUAAAGGGCUCGUAGGUGGUUGAUCGCGUCGGAAGUGUAAUCUUGGGGCUUAACCCUGAGCGUGCUUUCGAUACGGGUUGACUUGAGGAAGGUAGGGGAGAAUGGAAUUCCUGGUGGAGCGGUGGAAUGCGCAGAUAUCAGGAGGAACACCAGUGGCGAAGGCGGUUCUCUGGGCCUUUCCUGACGCUGAGGAGCGAAAGCGUGGGGAGCGAACAGGCUUAGAUACCCUGGUAGUCCACGCUGUAAACGGUGGGUACUAGGUGUGGGGUCCAUUCCACGGGUUCCGUGCCGUAGCUAACGCUUUAAGUACCCCGCCUGGGGAGUACGGCCGCAAGGCUAAAACUCAAAGGAAUUGACGGGGCCCCGCACAAGCGGCGGAGCAUGCGGAUUAAUUCGAUGCAACGCGUAGAACCUUACCUGGGUUUGACAUGGAUCGGGAGUGCUCAGAGAUGGGUGUGCCUCUUUUGGGGUCGGUUCACAGGUGGUGCAUGGCUGUCGUCAGCUCGUGUCGUGAGAUGUUGGGUUAAGUCC